UUGCGCGCUUUUUAUUUCAAUUUUCAUGAAAUAAUCACGUGACCCGAAAGACAGUAGCGCUCUUGUUGCUGAUCAUUGCCGCGUAAAAUAACGCCAUUGUUGUCACGCUGUGUACUUCGUUGUCGAAUAUUCAUUGUGUUCAAGUGUCUAUAUUAAUUGAUAUUCGUCUAAAUUAAAAAUACAUUAACGUGUUGAAAUAAUUAAAUAUCAUUUCUUCUAUUUGGUGAUGUUCAACAAUAGGUGUAUCACAUUUCCAAAACGUUUAUUCUAUCCUCGAUAUGGCGCAGAAUUCUCCAGUAUCAGACUUUUUAGAACUCGGUCUAUUUUUACGGUUAUUUUUCACAUUUUUAAAUGGAAAUUUAACUUGAAAGUAGGGAUCUCCGUGGGCUAUUUAGUUUGAAAGAAUAUAUAUCUCCUUGACGAUGGGAAUUCGUUAUUAAGGUCAUCAAUAUAAGGAACAAUGCUAUCAUCAUUACAGUACCAGUAAAUGUUCAACGAAGUUAAGUAAAUCAAUUUGAAAGUUAUUUGCACACAGUGUGUCCUUCUCCACGGUUAUGAUGUGGAUUUAAAAGCCGAGAUCUUAUCUGCCAGAGUGUCGAGUGUGUUGGACAUUUUUUCUGUGUAUCGAAAAGUGGAUGAUAUUUCAUCUGCGGUUUUUUUUUUCGAAAAUGAAAAUCCUCCCAAGCUCGCCAUGAUGUAACUGGAGUGGAUUGCCGUAUAUCCAACCUAGAGGGGAUUACAUCGCCCAGCAUCCAUUGGGUUCAACGCGGUGCGGAUUUUUUUUUACAUUAUAGACGGGAGUGUUCGAACUUAGUGAAACGGUCGUUUAAUACAUAUAAAAUAUAUAUUUUUUUUUAUUCUCGUUGCGUAUACGUGUCGUGUCGGAUUUAUAUUAGUUUCGGGAGUGUUAAUUCGUCAUUUUUAUAUAAUCGCGAAACGAAAUUUAGGGUGUUUUUCAAAAAUCCGUUUUCGUUGUUUGUCUUUCCGUUAUAAAAAAAAGACAACUCGUUUCGCGCGCGUUCGAAUUACAAAUUUUAAAAUCGCGAUACGUCUUUAUUCGCGAAUAUCAAGAAAAGUUUUUUUUUAACCU